rnacentral:lncRNA from 1 species
GACUAGCAAAUAAACAAUUAAACAAAUACAAAAACAAAUAAAAUAAAGAGAAAGAGAGUUUGGGCCCAAGUCUGGUUAUCUGUCCGCCUGGGCCAGUACUUGAGCCUAAUUUCGAUUUUGGGUCCAAAGGCCCAAAACUUAGUACCUGUCCUAAACUAACAAGAUGAUAAUUAAAAUAAAAGGGCUUAGGCCCAACAACAGAAUACAAACUGAAUAUGGGGCCUUUAGGCCCAUUUUCGUAUACACUAGGUAUAUACUAGUGUAUACAAUCCCGUGACAUCAAUCUCCGGAGACUUAUUCUUUGAUUCCAUCUGGCUGGCCGACUUGGAAGGAAAGGAUUUGAACAUAGAACUCGUCAAUGCAAAUGGCGAUGGAAAGAAUGUCCAUGAGGACUCAAUGGUUGUCACAUGCAACACAAAUGAAUAAAAUAUACAAGUAUAGCUCAUUAACCCCUUUCUUAAAACAAAAAAUAAUAAUUUUUAUAUAUAUAUAUAUAUAUAUAUAUUAAAAUAGAGCAUUAUGAUAGAUUAUAAAGCAUACAAGUAUUAUGCAUCAGUGGACCCACAAUGACUCGGUAUACAUGUAGAAAAUAAAUUGAAAUCUUGAAGGAAAUAUUCCUAAAUGAGCACUAAACUACAAAACAUGUAUACUAUAAUAGUGAAAAGAUAUCAAAGGAGGGACAUAGUUUAAAUUUAAAAAUACCAACAAACUAUGCUACAUCAAAUAUAAAUAAAUAAAAAGAAAAGCAUAAACAAGAUAGUGUCUAGAAUUGAUAAUGGAAAACUCUUAAUUUUAACUAAGUCUUAAUAAGCAUGCUCACUAACAAAUCUCUAUAUAUAUAUUUUUACUACACUUGGUAUUCACAAAAGGCUCUAAUCAAAUUAAAAGAAUCUAAACUCAAGCUUAAGAGACCAUUUUAGAUAGAAUAAAAUUAUGACAAAAAAAACAAGACAUGCCUUCAUUAAUCAAGCAGUGCAUAACAUGAAACAAUCGGUCAAAAUAUUAGGAAAAAAAAAAAAAACUACCAGCCCAAUACAAUAUUAUGGAAAGCAAAAUAAUGAACAAAUAAGGACAACACUCAGGCUCGCAGAAGACAACAAAGCUCAGACUUACUCUUGACAUGAAAAUAAGCUAACAUUAGCAGAAAUCUGUAGCUACGAGUCAAACAGAGAAGCAAUCGAAAACCAAAACUACACAGAAGAUAAAACUCACAAUAAAUGAUUCAGGCUGCGCAACAGACAAGCUCAAUACAAAAUCCAAAUAAGUUUUAAACCAUUCCGAGUAGAACAAAGUACAAAAUUAGCCGUUUUCGAAACAAAAUAGGCCCAUAUCAAAGUCAAGAAGCUAAUCCAACAACAUUUCGCUAUUCACACAGCAGUCCGUCACUAUUAACUCAAAAUAAUCGAAGGGAAAGAGAAAGAGCAAAGGAAUAGGUACCUUCUAUGGAGCAGCGAACUCAGACAAACGAGUAGAAGCGAGCGAGUUUAACACCACAAUGAGAACUUUCGAGAGAUUCGACUAAUUCUUCCGCAACCCACAAAGAAUCGAAGAAAAAAAAUGCAUUCGAAGUGUAUUUUCUGGGUGAUCUUUUAUGACCUUGGAAUCCUCUAUAUAAUUUUUGGCCAACUUUUCCC